rnacentral:rRNA from 1 species
GCGAGAAAACUUUAGUCAAUAGUGCGAAAAGACACGACAAGGUUAAUACCGAGUGGUUUUCUUGCUAAAGGAAACCUUUUGUUCGGUCCUAGAAACAACCGAUGAAUAAAGGGGUGGGGCAAGUUCUGGUGUCAGCCGCCGCGGUAAAACCAGCACCUCAAGUGGUCAGGAUGAUUAUUGGGCCUAAAGCAUCCGUAGCCGGCUCUGUUAGUUUUCGGUUAAAUCUGUACGCUCAACGUACAGGCUGCCGGGAAUACUGCAGAGCUA